rnacentral:rRNA from 1 species
UGGGCCUACGGGGCGCAGCAGUCGGGAACAUUGCGCAAUGGAGGAAACUCUGACGCAGUGACGCCGCGUAUAGGAAGAAGGCUUUCGGAUUGUAAACUAUUGUCGUGAGGGAAGAAAUUGACAGUACCUCAGGAGGAAGCUCCGGCUAACUAUGUGCCAGCAGCCGCGGUAAUACAUAGGGAGCAAGCGUUAUCCGGAUUUAUUGGGUGUAAAGGGGGCGCAGACGGCGAUGCAAGCCAGGAGUGAAAGCCCGGGGCCCAAACCCGGGACUGCUCUUGGAA